GACGAACGCUGGCGGCGUGCUUAACACAUGCAAGUCGAACGAAAAGAGGGAAAGAGCUUGCUCUUUCCGGAAUUGAGUGGCAAACGGGUGAGUAACACGUAAACAACCUGCCUUCAGGAUGGGGACAACAGACGGAAACGACUGCUAAUACCGAAUAAGUUCCAAGAGCCGCAUGGCCCAUGGAAGAAAAGGUGGCCUCUACCUGUAAGCUAUCGCCUGAAGAGGGGUUUGCGUCUGAUUAGCUGGUUGGAGGGGUAACGGCCCACCAAGGCGACGAUCAGUAGCCGGUCUGAGAGGAUGAACGGCCCCACUGGAACUGAGACACGGUCCAGACUCCUACGGGAGGCAGCAGGGGGGAAUCUUCCGCAAUGGGCGAAAGCCUGACGGAGCAACGCCGCGUGAGUGAUGACGGCCUUCGGGUUGUAAAACUCUGUGAUCCGGGACGAAAAGGCAGAGUGCGAAGAACAAACUGCAUUGACGGUACCGGAAAAGCAAGCCACGGCUAACUACGUG
rnacentral:rRNA from 1 species